rnacentral:lncRNA from 1 species
GCAAUGAAACCUUGGAAAAAAUAGCAUUGAAUUUCCCAGAACUCCCAAGCAGCUGAACACUGCAUAUAUAAACUUAAAAAGGGUCACUAGCCAAAAAGUAGCAGAGGAAAAUAUUCAAAAAUAUAAUGAGCAGAAGGUUUUGGACCAGUUGAAGAGAGACCAAACUGCGGACAAAAAAGACAUACUUGCAACAGGUGGUGGCACAUUUAGGCCUCGUCUCACAGAUGUAGGGGCACAAAUGUUGAGUUUGAUUGGCAAUCAAAUCCAACCUUUACCCAACAGUUGUGACAGUGCAUCUGGUUUCUUCACAUCUGGUGAGUCCUUAUUUUAUUAAUUUAUUUAAAUAAAGGUAACUAAUUUUAAAUUUAUUUAUAUAUAUAAAGCUUGAUCAAUAUUUCCAAUAUUAUCUGAACAAUAACCUGUAUAUGGUCUUGAUCUGGACAAAACUUCUGAAUUAGAACAUUUUUUUGUUCAGCACGUUAUCCACAAAUGUAGUACAGUGACCAUUAGUUUAACUAUUUAAAACUAUUAUCUGAUAAUGCUAGGUUUACGUAUUCUAUGGAUGUAGCAAUAGAAAGAAGCCACCUUCUGUUAAAAAGGAUGAUU